rnacentral:rRNA from 1 species
UCGUGAAACCGCGAACGGCUCAUUAUAACAGCUAUAAUUUACUUGAUCUUGACUUCCUACUUGGAUAACUGUGGUAAUUCUAGAGCUAAUACAUGCACCAAAGCUCCGACCUUACGGGAAGAGCGCAUUUAUUCGAACAAAACCAAGCGGCUUCGGCCGUCCGCAGUUGACUCAGAAUAACUAAGCUGAUCGCAUGGUCUUGUACCGGCGACGUGUCUUUCAAGUAUCUGCCUUAUCAACUUUCGAUGGUAGUGUAUCUGACUACCAUGGUGGUGACGGGUAACGGAGGAUAAGGGUUCGACUCCGGAGAAGGGGCCUGAGAAAUGGCCACUACGUCUAAGGAUGGCAGCAGGCGCGCAAAUUACCCACUCUCAGAAUGAGGAGGUAGUGACGAGAAAUAACGAGACCGUUCUCUACGAGGCCGGUCAUCGGAAUGGGUACAAUUUAAACCCUUUAACGAGUAUCUAUGAGAGGGCAAGUCUGGUGCCAGCAGCCGCGGUAAUUCCAGCUCUCAAAAUGCAUA